GAUGAACGCUGGCGGCGUGCCUAAUACAUGCAAGUCGAGCGAACAGACGAGGAGCUUGCUCCUCUGACGUUAGCGGCGGACGGGUGAGUAACACGUGGAUAACCUACCUAUAAGACUGGGAUAACUUCGGGAAACCGGAGCUAAUACCGGAUAAUAUAUUGAACCGCAUGGUUCAAUAGUGAAAGACGGUUUUGCUGUCACUUAUAGAUGGAUCCGCGCCGCAUUAGCUAGUUGGUAAGGUAACGGCUUACCAAGGCAACGAUGCGUAGCCGACCUGAGAGGGUGAUAGGCCACACUGGAACGGAGACACGGUCCAGACUCCUACGGGAGGCAGCAGUAGGGAAUCUUCCGCAAUGGGCGAAAGCCUGACGGAGCAACGCCGCGUGAGUGAUGAAGGUCUUCGGAUCGUAAAACUCUGUUAUUAGGGAAGAACAAAUGUGUAAGUAACUAUGCACGUCUUGACGGUACCUAAUCAGAAAGCCACGGCUAACUACGUG
rnacentral:rRNA from 1 species